AAAAAGGGCCUUUGCUGUAAUGGCACAUCGCUUCGCAAGGAGUGGUGCGGAAUCGAAAGCAAGAGAUUUCGGAGGCAUAAUUUUUAUGCCCUGUGGCAGUUGGUGUCCACUUGACCUGACGCCACU